rnacentral:rRNA from 1 species
UACGGAGGGUGCAACCGUUGCUCGGAAUUAUUGGGCGUAAAGCGCACGUAGGCGGUCCCUUAAGUCGGGUGUGAAAGCCCUCGGCUUAACCGAGGAAGUGCAUUCGAAACUGGGGGACUUGAAUACUGGAGAGGAUGGCGGAAUUCCCGGUGUAGAGGUGAAAUUCGUAGAUAUCGGGAGGAACACCAGCGGCGAAGGCGGCCAUCUGGACAGAUAUUGACGCUGAGGUGCGAAAGCGUGGGGAGCAAACAGG